GCUCCAGCCAUUUGGCUCAGUCAGUAGAGCAUGAGACUCUUAAUCUCAGAGUCGUGGGUUUGAGCCCCAUGUUGAGUG